CCCUUAGAUGUUCUGGGCCGCACGCGCGCUACAAUGGUCUUCGCAAACGGAUGCAUUCUCGAAGGAGAAUGCCAAUCUUGGAAUCUAUGCCUUGGUCGGGACAGUUGCUUGCAAUUUUUCGACUCGAACCAGGAAUUCCUUGUAAUCGUGAUUCAUCACAUCACGAUGAAUACGUCCCUGCCCUUUGUACACACCGCCCGUCGCUCCUACCGAUCGAAGAGUUAGGUGAAUUGUUUUGAUCGAUAAGAUUUGACUAUGGUCAACUCUCGUUGUGAAAUUCUGUGAAUCUGACUGUUUAGAGGAAGGAAAAGUCGUAACG
rnacentral:rRNA from 1 species